GGGAACAGGCAGGCAACAGACUCAGGAUCUGGUUUCUGUGGGAGAAAUGAAAACGAAAGUGUGACAGUGGGCAAACGUGAGGUGCUUCUGCCAACCUCAAGAAACCCCACGAGUCAGUAACAGAGCCUUUCUCCAGUCUUUGUCUUUUAUCCUACAUCUUUCGACUUGGGGCUCCCCAGCAUCCCCACAGAAUACCAUCAGAUAGGGAACAGCCA